rnacentral:lncRNA from 1 species
CUAUUUAUUUCGCUUCCGCACUAAAUUCAUAAUUUAUUUUCUUUAGAAUUUUUGAGGUCGUUACAGUUGGUAUCAAUGUCAGGUUUCUCAAACCCAUUCCUUACACAAAAUCCUUAGGAAACAUAAAAAAACAAUGAAUUAUCACUCAAUCGUUCCUCAUAAAAUGCAUGUACAAAUAGAUGAGGAGAGGAAGGCCCUCACUAAACUGAGUAGCCCGGGAGGGUUCACUACGAGAGGAUGUUGACCAGUUAUUUGAGAUGCUGAAUAGACUUAUCGCUGCCCAACAAGCCCGGAAAGAAAGGAGAGAGCUACCUGACCAUCUCCCACUGCCAUAGGUUGAGCCACCUCUGAAGCGAGAGGAUUCCGAGACACCCCGGUACAACCAUGCUCCUCUACAGUACCACCCGGCACCACUUCAAUAUGAUCUGGUGCCCCAGCCACAGUAUCACCUUACACGAUCAUAAU